CAAUAGCGUAUAUUAAAGUUGUUGCAGUUAAAAAGCUCGUAGUUGGAUUUCUGGUACAAUGCGCCUGGCCCGCGGCAGUAAUGCCUGUGAGUGCCGGUGCGCGUUUGCCAUCCUUCUAGAAAACGUUUCUACCCUUUACUGGGCCGGACUCGCGAUCUAGAUCUUUUACUUUGAAAAAAUUAGAGUGUUCAAAGCAGGCUUUUGCUGUGAAUACAUUAGCAUGGAAUAAUAAUCUAGGACUUCGGUUUUAGUUUUUGUUUGGUUUUCGUUAACAACUGAAGUAAAUAGAUUGUAUAGGGAGUAGUUGGGGGUUGGGCGUAGUAUUGG
rnacentral:rRNA from 1 species